CGACGUAGUUUGAUCAUGGCUACAGGACGACGCUGGCGGCGUGCCUAACACAUGCAAGUCGAACGGGGGUGAUUUCCUUCGGGAGAUCACUUAGUGGCGAACGGGUGAGUAACGCGUAGGCAACCUGCCCUUCAGAUGGGGACAACACCUCGAAAGGGGUGCUAAUACCGAAUGACGUUUCCUGGUCGCAUGACCUGGAAACCAAAGGCCGGGGCAACCGGUCACUGAAGGAUGGGCCUGCGUCUGAUUAGCUAGUUGGUGGGGUAACGGCCCACCAAGGCGACGAUCAGUAGCCGGUCUGAGAGGAUGAACGGCCACAUUGGGACUGAGAUACGGCCCAGACUCCUACGGGAGGCAGCAGUGGGGAAUAUUGGGCAAUGGGGGAAACCCUGACCCAGCAACGCCGCGUGAAGGAAGAAGGCCUUCGGGUUGUAAACUUCUUUUACCAGGGACGAAGAACGUGACGGUACCUGGAGAAAAAGCAACGGCUAACUACGUG
rnacentral:rRNA from 1 species